AACUAAGAUCAUCGUGGAACAUGAAAAGUUGCUGAGGAAAGUCCACACACAAAAAAAGGCUAUUCCUGAAAGGGAGUUUCAGAAAUGAAAGGCAACCACGCAGAAACGACACGGCUUAUUGAUGUGAUGAUGUUCACGAAAUCUCCAGUGAUGGGGACGAGAACUAACUGAAUAUAUCAAUAAGAAACGAUGAAACGGUGAGUCCUGGCUUGUGCAAGUCUGUAAGACGCAUAGUUGAAUGGUCGGAACCUUUUUUAGGAAAAAAGCUUCACCAGAAAAUGAAGCAAAUCUAAAAGGUUAACAGAAUGUGGCUUACUGUU
rnacentral:RNase_P_RNA from 1 species